GCCACUUCAUGUUGAAACACCAGUUCCUGUACAAUCACUGAAGUUAAGUAAUGUUGAGCCUGGUCAGUACCUAGAUGGGUGAUUUCUUGGAAAUGCUAGGUGCUGUAAG